rnacentral:rRNA from 1 species
GACGAACGCUGGCGGCGCGCUUAACACAUGCAAGUCGAGCGAAGCGGCGGACGGGUGAGUAACACGUGAGUAACCUGCCUUAGACAUUGGGAUAGCCUCGGGAAACCGGGAUUAAUACCAAAUGGUCUAAGAUGGACUCGCGUCCCAUUAGCUAGUUGGUGGGUAACGGCCCACCAAGGCGACGAGGGGUAGCCGGCCUGGGAGGGUGAACGGCCACAUUGGGACUGAGAUACGGCCCAGACUCUACGGGAGGCAGCAGUGGGGGAUAUUGCACAAUGGGCGAAAGCCUGAUGCAGCGACGCCGCGUGGGGGAUGAAGGCUUUCGGGUUGUAAACCUCUUUCGCUAUCGAACGGGUAGGUGGAGAAGAAGCGCCGGCUAACUACGUGCCAGCAGCCGCGGUAAUUC